CAUGUGUGUUUCACAGGUUCUUCAGAUGUGGUUCAAGGGUGUCUCCCAUGAGGUUCCUGCAUGGCUCACACAUGGUUCAGGUGUAAUUCAGGCGGGGAUCUCACACGACUCGUUUGGGUCACAUAUGGUUGAGGACACUCUCACACGAGGUUCAGGCAUAGCUCAGCAAUGGCUGACACGUCAUGCAGGCAUGCCACAGAACUGGCUCCCAUUUGGCUGACACAUGAUACAGGCUUUGGUCACGCAUGGCUCACACAUGGUUCAGGUGUGGCUCCUGCAUGUCUGUGGUGUUGGUCAGGAGUGGCUCACAUGUGUUUUUGGCAGGGGUGGCACAUGAUUCAGGCAUGGCAGGCAGGUUGUGCCGGUGUGACUGACACGUGCUUCAAGUGACGCUGACCUGUGGUUCAAGUGUGACUGGCACUUGGUUCAGGCCUGCCUGGCAUGUGACUUGGCGCGGCUGAGCCUUGACACAGGCGUGGUUCACACGUUGUUCAGGCGUGGCUGACACAUGACUCAGGUGAGGUGGAAGCGUGACACAGGCGUGCCUGACACAUCACGCAGUUGUGGUUCACACAUGGAUCAUGCAUGGCCUUCGUGUGGUUCAGGGAUGGCUGGUGCAUGGUGCACGCAUGGGUGGCAGGUGGUUCAGGUGUGGCUGACAUGUGACUCAGGCAUGUGAGAAACAUGGCUCUAGUGUGUCUGACAAAUGUCUCAGGCAUGGCUGACAUGUGACACAGGCAUGCAUCGCACAGGAUCGAUGUGUGGCAGACAUGUGGUCACGCACGUGUGACAUGCUGUACAGGCGUGGCUGCCACGUGACUCACAGGUUGCUGAAACCUGGCUACCACAUACUCAGUCAUGGCUGGCACGUGGCUCACACGUGGCUCAGCUGUGUUUCAUGUGUGGCUCCCUUGUGGGUCAUGUGCGAUUCAAGCAUUGAUCAUGUGUGUUUCACAGGUGGUUCAGAUGUGCUUCAAGGGUGUCUCACAUGUGGUUCAUGCAUGGCUCACACAUGGUUCGGGUGUAAUUCAGGCGUGGCUCACACACGACUCAUCUGGGUCACAAAUGGUA
rnacentral:lncRNA from 1 species